UGUCAGUUCCUAACAGACGGGUGAGAGACGAAACAUUUAUUAUUUUUAUUUCCUUUUUGUGUGUUCUGUUCUGUUUCUGUCUACCGAGUUUCUUCUUCUCUUCGGCGGGAGAAAAUUGAGACGAUAAUACGACCAUGGAAGAGUCACAUAAAACGACAGCCUUGAAGAAAGCUUACGCGGAGAUUAUCCUAAACACGGCCAAGGAAUCAGCGGCUAGGGUUAUGCUUUCCGACAGAAAAUCAGCUCGCUUUCACCACGAUCUCUCUCAAACCAAGGAGGAAGCUCUUCGUUUGCUUGUCCGAUUGAAACAUAUGAUUGAUGCUAAGACGAUUGAAGGAGAUGUUAUAUCAUCAAACCAGCAACGGCAGAUUGAUGUGCUUGAAGCUCAGCUUCACGAGGCUGAAGAUAUUAUUACUGACCUUAGGUCUGAGGUUAGAUGGGUCAGAGAUAGAUUGGAGAAAGCUAAGGCUUUUGAGUCUCUGGAAGAAGAAGAAGAAACGGUUUAUGUUCAUCCAGAGGUUGUUGUUGAAAGUGUGAAUCCUAGCUCAUUGGAUGAUGUUGAAUGUGAAAAUGAGGAAAAGCAGUUUGAUGGGUUAAGUAUGGUUGAUACUUUACAGGCUUAUGAGUCUCGGGAACGGAACGUUGUGAGCGAGGAGGAAGAAGAAACGGUUUCUGCUCACAAGGUUGAUCCAGAGGUUCUCGUUGAAAGUUCGAAUCCGAAUCAAGAGGAUCGUGAUGAAUGUGAAGAUGAUGAAAGUUUGGAGAAAGCAAAAGCUUAUGAGUCGCAGGAAAGGAACCUUGUGGACAUGGAUGAAGAAAUGGUUCCUGUUCAGAAGGUUGAUCAAAAGGUUGUUGUUGAAAGCUUGAAACCUAAUCUAGAGGUUGCAGAUACGUGCAAGAUACAUGAUGAAAAGCAGUUCAACGGGUUAGGUGUUGCUAGUUUAAAGGAAAACGAUGAUGUUUGUGAGUCGGAGUUGGAUGGUGAUAUCAGAAUCAAAAAACUUGAGCUGUCUAGGAAUGGCUGUACACAGAGGAUCCAUGCUUUGGAGAGGAUAUCAUCUUCUUCCGCAGAUGAAGAGGAGCAACAAGGCACAACUGAUAAGGACAGUGAAGAAAGCUUGAGCUCAGGAAAAGCUGGCACUUUGGAGAACACAAGAUGUCUUGUUCUUGCUCUUAGAGCUAGCAGUGCAGAGGUGGUAACACUGCCGUCAAACGCAUUAGGAAUCAAGAAAGCCAGGAAAUUAAGAGGAAGGAGAAAGAGAAGGUUUGGCAAACCAAAAGCUAAAUCGGUUAGGCCUCAAAGUCAGCUUAUAAAGCCUUGUCAAUCUCAGUCUAAUGUUACCUCUUCCAAGACAUCAACCUCAGAUGGCGAAUAUUCCAUUGAGACGCAUCUGUCUGUAGAGAGUGAGGAGGUGGAUGACCUUAAAACCUGUAAAGAGUUGAAAGAACAUUUGCAGCUAAAACGUACUCUAGACAGUGAUGUGUUGGUAAGUUGUGAAGGUGAAGAAGAAAGUGUGGUUCCUUGUACCAAAAUGGCUUCUGAAUCAAAAGUUACUGCAGUAGUAUCAGAUCAAAUCAGUGAGUCUCCUCCAAGAGCCAAUGUAAAUCGACUCUUGAAGUACACAUUCCAAAGGAAACGAAAGAGAGGAUCUGCAGACGAUAGUAAUAACCUUCCAAGGAAACAUCAAGAAGACAAAGCUCAAGACCAAAUUGAAUCUACUUUGAGUAAAUGAAACCAUCUUAAUAGGAAACCACACAUCUUAAAUCCUUGUCUGAGAGUUGAUGGUAGACUGGCUAAUCUUUGUGCAAAGGGAACUCUUGAGAACAUAUACUUAUUGUGACAACAACCCUAUGUUCUCGAGUCAUUCGAACUUGGAGAGUGUUUUUACUCAGAGAACCAAAGUUAAUAUCGCUCUUUGACCGUAGUAAACUCAUGAGGGGAGGAAGAAUCACACUACCAAUACGUGAAACAUAAAGUAAAUCGAACUUAAAAUCUUAUAAAAUGUCAAUAUGGCAAGGAUUAAAGUUGACUGAAACUACAUAAGCGUGGUCCUUCCCAUGAUCUCAUUCAUCUUAAUCUUCUUAACCACUUGUAUAAACAAUGGUUUUCAAUGUAGAAUUCAUUGCUUUUUGAAUAGAAAUUGAAUAUUGACUG